UACGUAGGGUGCGAGCGUUGUCCGGAAUUAUUGGGCGUAAAGCGCGCGUAGGCGGUUACUCAAGUCGGAUGUGAAAGCCCUCGGCUUAACUGAGGAAGUGCACCCGAAACUGAGUAGCUAGAGUACUAAAGAGGGUCGCGGAAUUCCCGGUGUAGAGGUGAAAUUCGUAGAUAUCGGGAGGAACACCGGUGGCGAAGGCGGCGACCUGGGUAGAUACUGACGCUGAGGCGCGAAAGCGUGGGGAGCGAACAGG
rnacentral:rRNA from 1 species